rnacentral:rRNA from 1 species
GACGAACGCUGGCGGCGUGCUUAACACAUGCAAGUCGAACGGAAAGGCCCUGCUUUUGUGGGGUGCUCGAGUGGCGAACGGGUGAGUAACACGUGAGUAACCUGCCCUUGACUUUGGGAUAACUUCAGGAAACUGGGGCUAAUACCGGAUAGGAGCUCCUGCUGCAUGGUGGGGGUUGGAAAGUUUCGGCGGUUGGUGAUGGACUCGCGGCUUAUCAGCUUGUUGGUGGGGUAGUGGCUUACCAAGGCUUUGACGGGUAGCCGGCCUGAGAGGGUGACCGGCCACAUUGGGACUGGGAUACGGCCCAGCCUCCUACGGGAGGCAGCAGUGGGGAAUAUUGCACAAUGGGCGGAAGCCUGAUGCAGCAACGCAGCGUGCGGGAUGACGGCCUUCGGGUUGUAAACCGAUUUCGCCUGUGACGAAGCGUGAGUGACGGUAAUGGGAAAAGAAGCACCGGCUAACUACGUG